GCCCCGGGGCACUUGACAGCUGAGUGGAGGAGAAAGCAUGCGCAGUGGGAAGUUCUCUGCCCACGACGGGAAGUUCUCUGGGCUAGUGGCCUCUUAGGCUCCUUCCUGACCUGGCCUGGCCUGGCCUCUCUGAGGCCAUCUAAGCACCCACAGUGCCUGCACAGAGCCCGACAACCAGCAGGCCUAUGAUAAAUGCUCCCAAGCCCAUGAAUGAAUGGGACAAACCUUAGCUUCUCCACUGGACCGUUUCAUCUCUGAGUUUGUCCUAAUGUUUACCUAGGAGGACCCAGACCAUCCACGGGCAACCGGCCCAGGAGAAAAUGGUUCGAAAUUAACAAACUUUCCCCAAGCUCUCUUCCCCCCUCCCCCUCCCACCUCCGUUCUUCCAGCACCGCCCCCCUGCCCCCCACCACGCACCGCUCCACACACAAAGAAACAAAAGCAAAGGCUGCUGGGACCACAAAGGAUCUCAGAGCAUCCACUCCAGCCCCCUGAGAGGGGUUGCAUGGGAAGUCCGCCAUCUGGGGACUAUUUCCAAGUCCAGAGAAGAGCCAAGUCCCAACACCUGGCCUGAGAUGAACCCAAAAGGGAAGACGAGGAGGGGACUUGAACAGACAGCACGAAGUCACCGGGUCCAUAAUCUCAGCCGGCCCUUGCCAGCUGGGAAGAUGGGAGGGAACAGGGAGAUUGUACAACCGUAUUAAACGCAGAAGAAAAAUUAGGGCUUAACCAUGGAACUAGUCUACAAAAUCAUACGAUUUACACAAAAAAGAGUUUUAUGAAAACAAAAAUGCUAUUGCUGCUGAAAGCAACAGCAAAGUGUCUAUUCACCCAUCCAUCCAUCCAUCCAUCCAUUUAUUCCUUCCUUCCCACUUUUCUUCCUUCCUUCCUCCCUCCCUUCCUUCCUCCCUCCCUUCCUUCCUCCCUUCCUUCCUUCUUUCCUUCCUUCCUUCUUCCCUCCCUUCCUUCCUUCCUCCCUCCCUUCCUUCUUUCCUUCCUUCCUUCCUCCCUCCCUUCCUUCUUUCCUUCCUUCCUUCCUUCCUUCCUUCCUUCCUUCCUUCCUUCCUUCCUUCCUUCCUUCCCAGAUUCAUUCAUGAAGUGUUUUGCAUGCCCCAGGAAUGCAGAAUUCUGUCUUUGGCAAGCCUGGGUUCCUCACUGAAUUCAUGCAUUCGGCAAAUAUUUAUUCAGAGUCUACCAUGAACCCACACUAGGCCAGUCGGUGGGGAAAACUGGAGACCCACGUGGCACCAUUUUCAUGGACCUUGCCCUCCGUGCAGGAGACAGUCUCCUGGCUGGUGGCCUGGCAGGAAGACGCCAGCAUGGGCCACAAGGUGACCUCUGGAGCGACACAGAGGUCACACGGUCUGUGAAGAACCUGUUACCAGCAGGGAAGAUCCGCAGACCUAUCAAUGCCUUUGCUGUAGCUUCUGCCUGAGUGCAGCCCCCUGGAAUAAACCACCCCCCACCCCGGUCUUAGGUUUCUGUCUGCGAAAUGGGAAGGUUGGAAGGACUAGCAAAAAAUAAAAUAAAA